rnacentral:rRNA from 1 species
CCUACGGGAGGCAGCAGUGGGGAAUUUUGGACAAUGGGCGAAAGCCUGAUCCAGCAAUGCCGCGUGCAGGAAGAAGGCCUUCGGGUUGUAAACUGCUUUUGUACGGAACGAAACGGUCUGCUUUAAUACAGUGGGCUAAUGACGGUACCGUAAGAAUAAGCACCGGCUAACUACGUGCCAGCAGCCGCGGUAAUACGUAGGGUGCGAGCGUUAAUCGGAAUUACUGGGCGUAAAGCGUGCGCAGGCGGUUAUAUAAGACAGUUGUGAAAUCCCCGGGCUCAACCUGGGAAUUGCAUCUGUGACUGUAUAGCUAGAGUACGGUAGAGGGGGAUGGAAUUCCGCGUGUAGCAGUGAAAUGCGUAGAUAUGCGGAGGAACACCGAUGGCGAAGGCAAUCCCCUGGACCUGUACUGACGCUCAUGCACGAAAGCGUGGGGAGCAAACAGGAUUAGAUACCCUGGUAGUCCACGCCCUAAACGAUGUCAACUGGUUGUUGGGUGCAUUAGUACUCAGUAACGAAGCUAACGCGUGAAGUUGACCGCCUGGGGAGUACGGCCGCAAGGUUGAAACUUAAGGAAUUGACGG